UACGGAGGAUGCGAGCGUUAUCCGGAUUUAUUGGGUUUAAAGGGUGCGUAGGUGGCUUUUUAAGUCAGCGGUGAAAACUGGCGGCUCAACCGCAAGAGUGCCGUUGAAACUGGGGAGCUAGAGUAUGAACGAGGUAGGCGGAAUGUGUGGUGUAGCGGUGAAAUGCAUAGAUAUCACGCAGAACUCCGAUAGCGAAGGCAGCUUACCAGGCCAUAACAGACACUGAAGCACGAAAGCGUGGGGAUCGAACAGGAUUAGAUACCCUGGUAGUCCACGCAGUAAACGAUGAUUACUAGGAGUUUGCGAUAAACAGUAAGCUCUCGAGCGAAAGCGUUAAGUAAUCCACCUGGGGAGUACGCCGGCAACGGUGAA
rnacentral:rRNA from 1 species